rnacentral:tRNA from 1 species
GGGGUUGUAGCUCAGCGGUAGAGCACUCACCUAGCACGGCUGAGGCCCUGGGUUCAAUCCCCAGCACCACA